UACAGGCGUGAGCCACCGCACCUGGCCUUUGUAUAGAUUUUUAAAUGCUAGACUUCUUUGAUAUUAUUGAGCAUAUAUUUUAUCUAAUUAUGACACCUGUUUUGAUUCUGUGCUUAAUUAAGCAAUUUUAUGAUUAUAAUUUGGCUAUAGGAAAAGAAUGUAUGCUUUAUAUGGAAACAAGUAUUCUGGUUACAUUGAUGGGUAUAUUGUAGUAAAUUAAUAAACUGGCACAUUGAAGAUUAUUCAUCUUCUUAUGUCAGCUGUGCUGAUUGUCCUUAUAAUUUAUCUUUGCACAGUUGACUAAUUGUUUCCUUACCAAAUGUAAUUUUAGUCAUAGAAGGUGCAGUGAAUACUCUCAGGACUCUGAAAUAUGGUUCAUACCCAUGGAAAAAAGCCUAACAAAAAUACUGAUAGCAUGGUUCCAAAGCGGGCAUGAGGAGGAAUAUGCAUUUGGAGGUGUUAGAGAAGAUAAUAUGAUAAUAAUCAGUUACUAUAGUUUUGUUAGGAGAACCUCCCUCAUUUUUUAACUGUACCUAGAUAACGAACUUUGUCAGUUUAUUUAUUUUUUUUAAUUUCUUAAUUUUUUGAGAUAGGGUCUCUCUCUAUCACUCAGGCUGGAGUGCAGUGGCAUGAUCAUGGCUCACUAUCCUCAACUUUUCAGUCUCAAGUAAUUCUCCCACCUCAGUCUUCUGAGUAGCCAGGACUACAGACAUGUACCACCAUGCCUGGCUAAUUUUUUGGAUUUUUUUUUGUAGAGACGGGGUUUCUGCCAUGUAUCACAGGCCGAUCUCAAACUAGGCUGGUCUCAAACUCCUGGGCUAAAACAGAUCACCCGCCUGAGCCUCCCAAAGUGCUGGGGUUAGAGGUCUGAGCCACCGCACCCAGCCAACUUUGUCAUUUUAGAGAUAGCAGCAUAUGCUUUAUCUUGGUCCUGAGGCAUGGUUGCUGGAGGUCAAGUCUAUGCAGUUAGCUACGAUGGGCCACGGAAAGAUUCUAAACUUCUUGUAGUCAUCCAAGUAGGUGGAUUGCAUGCACUAUUUGUAAUUGAAAAGUAUGAGUUCCUGUUUUUUUGUUGUUGUUGUUUUUGGUUUUAAGGAGCUGAGAGUUUAAUAGGCAAGAAGGAAGGGAGAAGACAGAAGGAAGAAGCUCCCCCUAUACAGAGGCAGAGGGAGGGGGGAUACAAAGCCGAAAGAGGAGGUCCCUACCUGCUAACCAUACCAGCCAGAACAGUGGUUGGUAGGAUGGCGGAGACAUGGACUUCAGAGAGUUCUUGGUAGAAGACUCAAAGAGCCACCUGUCAUGAGACAUCCCACUUCCUUCCCCAGGUUACUUCCAAGACUGAGCAGCCAGGUUUUUGGUAGAUGAGAACAAAUGUUUCUUCCUGAAGCCCUGGGGCUUCAGGUAGGAAGAAGGACUGCUAUACUUGUUCUCACCCUUGGCUUCUGGCUGCUCCAGUUAAACAUGGUUCCCAUUGAUACAGACAUUAGAGUGGGAAAGGACUUCGUUCAUAGACCGAAGACCCUCAAAGGAAAGUCCUUCCAUUUUGGGAAGGGUGACAUUGAUUUCGUUUAGCUGCUUAAGAUAUGUACUUGCUGUUGUCUUGUGAGACAUGACAUCUGAAGCUGAAGAGGAGUCCCUCUCAUUGUUGUCAUUGUCCCACCGGGACUGAAAGUCUCCCAGUUGAGGCAGCAUUUUAGCUUUGAUGUCUACAGGGCAAUCAUGGAUCAGGAAAUUUCUGCAAAUUAGACUUGGAAAACAAGGUCUUGAUCCUUCUUGUCUUUGGACGAAGACUAAUCAUCACUUUUGACUGAAGGUGUAGUGCUGGAGACUAUGUUGGAGGCAGCACCUGAUGCACUAUCCAUAUUCUUCCCCUUGAUCUUGUCUUAAAGUUUUCCAAAUGGAUUCCGAGGCUUGUCUUUGAUGAAAAGGUCAAACAUACUGGCAGUCAUGUUGUUUCUCAUAAGCUGGAUGUCAACCUCAAUUUCUCCUCUUUAUCCUUCUCUCCUGGUUUGGAUUUCAAGGUAUACCACCGCAUCUUCCUGCUCCCCUAGUCUGGGUGCAGGUCCUGCAGGUACACCUCGGCGAAGCCCAAGUACAGUAGCAGCAGCACCUCAAAGGUGGCCUCCUCCUCUGACACUGAGGUGGCAUACUUCUCCUUACCCACCUGAAUCACCGAGUACAUGUUGCUUGUACCGUCAGGCUCUUGGUUCUUGGCCCCUGGCCCUAUGCCUGCAACACUGUCACCUGCACGUGGAUUGGGAACCACAUAGCCCCCGGACCUGCUAAGGCCAUUAAGGACAGGAUGGUGAUGCCUCGGCUGACUGACGUGAGAAGAUUGUCAUGACCCAUGGCCUCUACUGCUGUCCUACCAACAGAAACUUCAUAAUGUUGUGCAGGCGUUACCACUACCUAGUUCCAGAACAUUGCCAUCACCCCCAAAAUAAAUCUUGCAUUCAUUAAGCAGUCACCCCUAUUUUCCCCCAUCCCU
ensembl:lncRNA FTX FTX transcript, XIST regulator